CCUACGGGAGGCAGCAGUGGGGAAUAUUGGACAAUGGGCGAAAGCCUGAUCCAGCAACGCCGCGUGAGGGAUGACUGCCUUCGGGUUGUAAACCUCUUUCAGCGGGGACGCGGUACCCGCAGAAGAAGCACCGGCCAACUACGUGCCAGCAGCCGCGGUAAUACGUAGGGUGCGAGCGUUGUCCGGAAUUAUUGGGCGUAAAGGGCUCGUAGGCGGUUUGUCACGUCGGGAGUGAAAACUCAGGGCUCAACCCUGAGCCUGCUUCCGAUACGGGCAGACUAGAGGUAUGCAGGGGAGAACGGAAUUCCUGGUGUAGCGGUGAAAUGCGCAGAUAUCAGGAGGAACACCGGUGGCGAAGGCGGUUCUCUGGGCAUUCCUGACGCUGAGGAGCGAAAGUGUGGGGAGCGAACAGGAUUAGAUACCCUUGUAGUC
rnacentral:rRNA from 1 species